AUGUAAUUCAAUCAAAAUAAUAUAUAUUAAGUCAAAAUGUAAACCAUGCAUUGUUCACAAAAUACAAACUAAAAUAUAAAUGAUCAAAUUCAAAGGAAAAAUAAACUACUGGAUCCUCAUUUUCCUCCUGUACUGCAAGGCAUUUUGUGCCUAAACUAUCAUGGUCUCUACAAUGGGCCUCCCAGGAAUGUCUUUUAGAAAAU
rnacentral:lncRNA from 1 species